UCACUACUUGCGUAGGCAGUUGAUCCAGAGUUCCCACCAUUAUGUGCUGGCAACUGAAUCCAAGGGUUGCGCUCGUUGCUGGACUUAACCAAACACCUCACGGCACGAGCUGACGACAGCCAUGCAGCACCUGUACUCCCCCCCUUGCGGGUACCCUGCUUUCACAGGUUUAGAGAGCCUUUCAAGCCUAGGUAAGGUUCUUCGCGUUGCAUCGAAUUAAACCACAUGCUCCACUGCUUGUGCGGGCCCCCGUCAAUUCCUUUGAGUUUCACCCUUGCGAGCGUACUCCCCAGGUGGUACACUUAACACGUUAGCUCCGACACCGACACGUUAAAUGCCGGCAUCAAGUGUACAUCGUUUAGGGCAUGGACUAC
rnacentral:misc_RNA from 1 species